rnacentral:rRNA from 1 species
UACGGGGGGGGCAAGCGUUGUUCGGAAUUACUGGGCGUAAAGGGCCAGUAGGCGGCCAACUAAGUCCGACGUGAAAUCCCAAGGCUUAACCUUGGAACUGCGUCGGAUACUGGAUGGCUUGAAUUCGGGAGAGGGAUGCAGAAUUCCAGGUGUAGCGGUGAAAUGCGUAGAUAUCAGGAAGAACACCAAUGGCGAAGGCAGCUCUCUGGGAUGGUACUGACGCUGAGACGCGAAAGCGUGGGGAGCGAACAGG